AAAAAAAUAAAAUUAAUUAAGACCAAGGGCAAAAAAGACAUAUCUACCAAAUGGGGUAUAAAGACAAAUUUUAUGAAAAUUUUCUACAAGUUUCUACAUUCUUCUCCCUCAAAAAAAUCUGAAUACCUCCCUUCAUUCUCUCUUCCUCUUACAUGCCCUCCCAUCCUCUUUCUCUCAAACUUCAUUAAACCCACCUUAAGCUUCAAACAAUUCAAUAUCAUGGUCCUUAUACCCUCAAUUUCCUUAUGCAAGCUUGAAUUUAAUCUUUUUCCAUCUCUUUUCCUAAUCUAGCCUCACCACCAAUCUCAUAAUUAUUGAUGUUUUAAGCCAAGUUCAAGCUUCAAGAAUUUAUACAUGUUUGGAUGGUGAUAGUAGUGGUUCAAGUUUCAAGUUUUGAAGUAGAAAUUCAAGUGGGAAGCAGGGAGAAGUGUCUAAGAUUGAGGUAAGGGCUGUUAGUAGAAUUAGUUAGUAUUGUUGUUGUUGCUGUUUGAAAUGAAAAGCUAGAACCUAAAAGUCAUAAGUUGUUCCAAAAGCUUCAAUAUUUGAUUAUUGAGUUAAAUAUGUUAGAAUUUCUGUAAGACUGGUGUAGGAGCUGUGUAUACAUAUUUUCUUUGAUUCUGGAAAAUUUGAGUUGAAAUUGAAUUGUCUAGAGGUCAUAAGCUGUCAGUAAGCUGUUUUGGGAAUUUUGCCUUAAAUAACUAAGUUGUUGAUUAACCUGCUGUAUAAGUGGUUCAUGGGGCUGAGUAUAUAUGUUGGAACAUCUUUGUUGAAGGCUGGGUCGAAAUUAAUUUGAUAGAAGCCAUAAGCUGCUAAUUAAGCUGUUUGGAAGUGCUUAAAUAGCCAAACGACGUACUUCUGGUGCAAGGACUGAAAUUGAAAUUUUCGUGUAUGCUGGUUGAUGAAGUAAGAGUACGUCACAAAUGAGUUGAGUUGUUUUGGAAAGAGCAAGACCUAUAAGCCAAGACAUAAGCUAUUUUGGAAAAUGGAUUAUGGAGUUUUGGAGCUAGUAAAAGCUGCAAAUUGUGGAUAAGCUGCUUGCAAUUUCGGGACUAAUGCCAAGGUGAGUUCCUUUAGCUUAGAACCCACCUUUGGAGAUCGAUUAUGAUUAUGCUACAUUAUUAAGAUAACAUGAAUAAUUAGACCAUUUUAUGAUUACUUGCCUUUUGUACAAACAUGUCUGUUAUGCCAUAUGAAUGGUACAUUUGAAGUAGAAUAAAUAUAAGAUAGUUAGGAUGAUUAUUUCUUCAUUAGGCACCCUUGCUUGUUUAUUCUAAAAUCUAUUUUAUGUUAAUAAGUAUGUUGAUGUUAGUAUAAAUGUCGGAGGGAAAUUAGCCACACAAUUGAUGUAUAUAUACUUAUAGAAAUGAUUUGAAAGAAAAGUUGAAAUGCAACAAGAAACUCGUAGAAAAAUUGAAAUGGGUAACAUGCUCAUAGUAAAAAAAAAAAAUCUAAAAAAAUCAGUUUGCUACAACGAAGAGAUAAUGUAGCCUAUGAGAUACGGAUAGUAACAAAAUGAAAUAGUUACCGUUCGCCACAACGAAGAGAUAAUGUGGUAUAUUUGGCGAAGAGAUAAUGUGGUAUAUCCGUUCGCCACAACGAAGAAAUAAUGUGGUAUAUUUCCGUUCGCCACAACGAAGAGAUAAUGUGGUUUAUGUACAAAUAAUGAAAAGAGAUAAAUGAUGAGAUAGUUUAUAUUGAGUGGUACAAAUGAGAAAAUAAUUUAUAUUGAUGAGAUAGUUUUUAUAUUGAGUGGUAUAAAUGAGAAAAUAAUUUAUAUACUUUUACUUACUAUCUAUUAAAAGAAAUGAUUCAUGUUUUUACAUUUUUGCCCUCAUUAUGGGCAAUUUAGUAAUUUACUAAUUUUUAGACUUAGGUGAAUGCCACCUCACCAAAAAAAAUUCCACCCAAGAUUUUUUUAAUGGGCCAAGCCCAAUUUUUUCUCCAUUUCUCCUCCUACACUAAAAAUUCAACCCUCACCCCCACCGCCUUAACCAUGCCAAACUUCAUCAAACCUUCAUGGAAUCUUAGUGAAAUUUGUAGGUUUAAAGAAUUUAAUUUCUUUUUUACUGUAUUUUGAUUUUGAUACUAUAAAAAUUGUCUCUAUUACUUCACUUCAGAAUUUGUUUUAUAUGUUAAUAAGCCAAAUAUGCAAAAUGAUUAAUAUUUGUUUAGGUUUUUUCAUAUUAUUUCAUUCUUUUGUUUCAAAGAAAAAUGAUGAUGUAAGUCAACAAAAUUCGCAAGAUUCAAGUUGAAAGCGUGGUACUGCAUGUUUUAUGUCUUUAUUUUUGUUAUAGGAUCAAUUGCAUUGUCAUUAUUUUUGCAGGCAGUGAGUAACAAGUCGCGCAUCAUUCUUACUAUCUACUAACUAACAAUAAAAAAUAUGGCAGGUGGUUUUCCAAUUUUGCCCUUCUGGAGGGCAAUUUUGUAAUCCAAUAACCCUUUGAGAUUUAUUUGUUGCCACGUCAUAUGCAUUUUGUUAUAUAUUUCCUAUUUCACGAUAUAAUUGUUGUAGUGGUGUAGUGACAUUCUCUCUAAAUCACAUCGCAACACUCAUCUCUCACCGCCGUCAACCUUGCCAUCAAACACACCGAUCUCCACAUGUCUAAGAGUAUAUAUUCACUAAUAUAUAUCAUUUAAUUCCAUGCAAGGCUACUGUACGUCCAGAUCUGCUGUUGCUAAAUUUUGAUCUAAAGCAAUCUAUACCGAGUUCAUGAACCAAUGAAAUUGGAAACUUAGAGAGUAUUUUGAUUGGAGGUUUCAGGAAAUAGCAGGGUCUUUAGAUUCUGUGCUGACAACAUCCAGUCUUGUACCCGUUCAAAAUUUAGAUCCUAACAAAGUAAAUUAUCAGGACUUAACGCUAAAAUCAAGUGUAACUCUGUUGGAGAGUUUGAGAUUGUGUUGGAGAGAAGAAAAUGGUUGUGUAGUAACUUGCUGUCAGGACAGGUCUUUGUUUUCAACAACAACUUGGAGAGCUAGGAAGUAAUUAAGACUAAUUUUCAAGCAAGAAGAAAAAGGGAAUAUUAGAAAGAAAAAAAAUAUGAUAUGAAGUGAAGAGAUGAUGGGUAGAGUUUUAAGGGUUUUAAUUUUUCUUUUUGUUUUUCUUUGUUUGAAGAAAGAGUUUACGAAUAUAGUAAUGAGUUUCAUCAUUGUCAAUUUACAGAUACUUUUAUUUUCCUACUUGACUGCUACUCAUUUUGUUCUUCAUGAACUCCUAUACUCUAGCCUGUCUGGUACUUGAAUGUAUAAUACUUUGGACUUACCCUUAACUCUAAUCCAAAACUAUCUUAACUUGGAAA